GAACUGAAGACUUCAGACAGCACUGUAUCCCAGCAUGCACCUCUGCUCACUCAGACCACACCCCCAUGAGUAGGAUGCAACACUCUAGUGAUGGAGAUGUAGAGUUUUAUAAGUAGCGAGGGAGCAGACUAAGGUAAUGGAAUGUCAAGUCUGUAAAUCUUUAUUGUGGGCAGUGCUUUCACUCAGAUGCCCACUUCUCACUGGAGCUGUACAUGUGUUGGCUGGCUGGCAUGAUUUGCUGUUGGUGAUGAGGCGGUCAGGGUGACGUUGCAGGGCUAUGGUCGGCUCUCUGUGAGCUCAACGUUUAGAUUUGCUCUGUGUGGUUUGUACCCUGAAUAAUCGAGAUAAUUGUAAAAUGUAGACACGGUUUUGUAUUGAAUAAUUCCCGGAUUUUAGGUUUAAAGUUGUUGUGGGACGUACAUGGUAGUUUGGUUCUUCGUAUGGUUUUGAGUGAUAUAACUUGUACACACUGGGUGCAUAAUAAUGUAAAGGUACACUGAAUAGUAUUAAUGACCAACAGCAACAAACAGAUCUCCUCAAGGUAAGUCUGUUGGCUGUGUUUUAAUGAAGACCAUCGCUUGACUUCAGGAUCUUCCUCCGUUCAGCUCAAGGUGAGGCGCUGGUUCUGUUUUUUCUUUGGUUGGUUCCGGCCGGAAUGUUCGUAUUCCAGUCGGACGGUUUGUGCUUCCCGCCGUGGAAGGUUCUGAGUGUGGUCACUUGAUUUAGUCCCAAUGGUUAGCAUAGAACGUUGUAGUCUUGACAACCAUAAUAAACCACCUGGCAGUUAGUCUGACGGGAGUCCCCUGAGGGAAUCUGGCGGAACGUUCUUGAUUGUAUUUGAGUAACCUCGAGUCGUUGCCAACGGAAACAAUUUUUUCAGUCGGUUUCCAUUGGGAAUUGUUGCCCCUAUCUUAAUCAACUAAAGUUUGAUAUUAAAUAGAUACUGAGACGUACGUCGUACAAUACGUUGAUAAUUUCCGAUGGUUGCUCCGUACUUUUAACCACGAUGACGUUGUGGGACUCUCUGCGUUCAAAACCGCGUUCUACUUGCGGGCCCAUUUUUGACAUCAGGGAAGGCUGAAAAUCAUUUCAAGGUGGAAGAUAAUUUGACAUUUCUUCAACGGAACCCAGCACCUGAAUAUGGCUGAGUAUAUUUGAUUUAAUAUCGAUACUGCUUAGUGUUCUUUGUUACUUCAGCUUUCGUACGUUCUAAAUAUCUGGUGUCAAUAAUUGCCACAGAAGUUAAACCCUACCCAAUGGAAUGACGUUAAACAACGACUUUGGUGCAGAGUUACCAACUGGAUAAUAUCAAAGCUAAAAUAAUGGCCGUCAUUCCCACAUGUUACAGUAGAAGAUACUCUAGAACUGUACAAGGUUAAAAAGGUAACAUGUAGUUUGUCCCAAGGUGUCUGCCUCCUCACCCAGAGCAAGACCUCCACCUCCUCACCCAGAGCCAGACCUCCACCUCCUCACCCGGAGCCAGACCUCCACCUCCUCACCCAGAGCCAGACCUCCACCUCCUCACCCAGAGCCAGACCUCCACCUCCUCACCCAGAGCCAGACCUCCACCUCCGGUCAGAAGUCCUCCAGAACAGCUGAAAGGCGAGGCUUAGAGGCUGGGGACCGGAGGCUUGUGGUGCCAGGAUGGACCGGAGACUGAGGCUGGAGACCAGGGGCCUGCAGCACCGGACCAGAGGGUAUAUAUACCAGACGACUACAUCUGUUUUACCACAUGUUGAAGCAAGACUUCCGCUGUUUGUUCCAGACCAGGACUGUCUGAGGAGAGCUGCUGGAGGAGCUGAGACGCUGGAGGACGACUAGGAAUCGACCAACAAGGAUUCCUCAACGUGUUUCUGGAGCUGAGGCGAGCUGGUAGGGGAGCCGUGAAUCUGGAGGAUGACCAUCACUCUACCAACCAGGGUUACUUUAGGGCCAGACUCGCGCUGUUUGUUCCAGACCAGGACUCUGGCUGAGGAGAGCUGAUGGAGGAGCCAAGACUCUGGAGGACGACAUCACUCCACCAACCAGGAUCCUCACACACCUGAGCUGAACCUCACCUGAUCCUGUUUGGUCGGGGGUAGACACACCUGAGCUAAACCCGCCCUGAUCCUGACAUCCUGCUGGUCCCGUCUCCUCAGUUCAUCUGAGCCUCGACCUCCAGAAGACCUGCUGAGCUCAGCAGUCUGAGGCUGAUGGAUCAAUGACCUCCAGUGGGAGUGUUCUUCUUGACCCCCCACCUAACCGUGUGCUUCCACACGCCUUUCCCUCACGUCUGUCACUAACUUCACUACUCUCUACUGCUUCCUCUUUUCUUCCUUCUCUGUGGUUUGAACCUUUACACGGAAGGCGCGUCUUCCUGCCCUCAGAGGGUUUAGCGUUAGGGUUGAGUGUCAGGGUUUAGAGUCAGGGACAGAGCUGGUCAGGGAGGACUGCUUUUACAAAAACCUCUUCACUUGCUUUCGGAAUGGUGGUGACAUUUUGAAAAGAUUCAUUUGGGAAAAUGUUUUCCUCUGCUUUCCUUUACAAAAUUGUAUCAAACUUAUGUCAAGUGUUUUUGUUUAUAUAUUAAAAUCCCACAUUGACUUCUACAUGUUUGUAACGGUUCAUUUAAUUGUCCUUUAACUUGGUUAAUGUCAAGCUAAACUCCCGCAAUACAUUCAAUAUACAUGAUUAUUAUUCUGCAAUGUUCACAUAAUCCAUUUUGUAAAAAUAUGAAACCUCCAUAUUACUACUAAAUUCAGGCCUAUUAAUGUAUUUAACAAUGUACAUACUGCCCCGCAGGCCAUUCUCUGCUACUACGACACGUUCAAUCCA